UAUUAAAAAUUUCAUCAAUUUCUACUGUUAAAAGUAGUGUGCAUGAUGAAAUAACCAUACAGAUACAUGUUAUGUCACAUGUACCUCAUAUUGAAGUACAAGGACCAAUUUUUAACAGUAAAAUUGGAUAGAAUUUUUAAUA
rfam:Gossypium hirsutum cultivar TM-1 chromosome 16, whole genome shotgun sequence